UUCGGGUUAAAUGGGGGACUUUGGAAGAGAAAUUGCAUUUUCUUCUGGUCAAAUGGGGGAUUUUCAAAGAGCAACUGCAUGAUUUUCGUUUACAUGUGAGACUUUUGUAGAGGAAAUGCGUGAUUUUUUGGAAACAUGGGGGACUCUUGUAGCAAAAAAGUUGAUUUUGGGGUCAAACGGGGGAUUUUUGAAGAGCAGAAGUGUGAUUUCACGUUAAAUGGGGAUUUUCCACAAGAAAAUGUGUGAAUUUGGGGGAUAAUGUGGUAUUUUUGAAGAGAUAAUGCAUGAUUUUGGGGUAAAUGUGGGAUUUUCCAAGAGAAAAGGCAAGAUUUUCGGGUUGAAUGGGGGACUUUGCAAGAGAAGUUGUGUGAUUUUGGGAUAAAAAGGGGGAUUUUGGAGGAGAAAAUGUGUGAUUUUUGUUUAAAAAGGGUAUUUUUAAAGAGAUAAUGCAUGAUUUGGGGUAAAAUGGGGGAUUGUUGAAGAAACAGUGCAUGAUUUUGGGUUAAGGGGUGUUUCUAGAAGAGAAAAUGCGUGAUUUUGGGAUAAAUCAGGGAUUCUCGAAGAGAAAAUGCCUCAUUUUCGGGUUAAAUGGGGGACUUGGAAGAAAAUUGCAUUUUCUUCUGGUCAAAUGGGGAUUUCGAAGAGCAACUGCAUGAUUUUCGUUUACAUGUGAGAUUUUGUAGAGGAAAUGCGUGAUUUUUGGAUACAUGGGGACUCUUGUAGCAAAAAAGUUUGAUUUUGGGGUCAAACGGGGGAUUUUUGAAGAGCAGAAGUGUGAUUUUCACGUUAAAUGGGGGAUUUUCCACAAGAAAAUGUGUGAAUUUGGGGAUAAUGUGGUAUUUUUGAAGAGAUAAUGCAUGAUUUGGGGUAAAUGCGGGAUUUUAGAAGAGAAAAGGCAAGAUGUUCGGGUAGAAUGGGGGACUUUGCAAGAGAAGUUGUGUGAUUUUGGGGAUAAAAGGGGGAUUUUUGAAGAGAAAAUGUGUGUUUUUGGGAUGAAUCAGGGAUUCUCGAAGAGAAAAUGCCUCAUUUUCGGGUUAAAUGGGGGACUUUGGAAGAGAAAUUGCAUUUUCUUCUGGUCAAAUGGGGGAUUUUCGAAGAGCAACUGCAUGAUUUUCGUUUACUUUGAGAUUUUUGUAGAGGAAAUGCGUGAUUUUUUGAAACAUGGGGGACUCUUGUAGCAAAAAAGUUUGAUUUUGGGGUCAAACGGGGGAUUUUUGAGAGCAGAAGUGUGAUUUUCACGUUAAAUGGGGGAUUUUCCACAAGAAAAUGUGUGAAUUUGGGGGAUAAUGGGUAUUUUUGAAGAGAUAAUGCAGGAUUUUGGGGGUAAAUGUGAGAUUUUCCAGAGAGAAAGGCAAGAUGUUCGGGUGGGGGACUUUUUUUUUUUUGGGUUUUU
rnacentral:lncRNA from 7 species